rnacentral:sRNA from 1 species
ACGAAGUGUAUCUCAUUUGAGAAAGGUGUUUGACAAGUACAUGACUAUAUCAGGAUUUCAAAUUGAGGAAACCAUUGACCGCGAGACUUCUGGCAAUUUAGAGCAACUACUCCUUGCUGUUGUGAAAUCUAUUCGAAGUAUACCUGCCUACCUUGCAGAGACCCUCUAUUAUGCUAUGAAGGGAGCUGGGACAGAUGAUCAUACCCUCAUCAGAGUCAUGGUUUCCAGGAGUGAGAUUGAUCUGUUUAACAUCAGGAAGGAGUUUAGGAAGAAUUUUGCCACCUCUCUUUAUUCCAUGAUUAAGGUAGUAGAACCUUUCUUUAAAUUAUGUUUGGGAAUCCAAAGCAGACUGGUAUGUUGCAUGAAAGACAAGGAUAAGAGAACCUGAUUCUUGUGUUAAGUUUAAAAUUUUAGUGACACGAUUAGAGCAAUGAGUUAAAAAGCUUAGCAUAAUGUUUCCUGAAGUAGAGAUGAUGGCUCCCAAGUGAAAGCAUGGGUAUUGAUGUGGCUGAGGCUCUUGGUGAACUCAGAAGCAUUAUUUAGUAGUGGUAACAGAUGACUCAACAAACCAAACCCCUUGCCUAUGAUAAUAAU